rnacentral:misc_RNA from 1 species
UUUCCGUAGGUGAACCUGCGGAAGGAUCAUUCAUAAUAAGUGUUUUAUGGCACUUUUUUAAAUCCAUAUCCACCUUGUGUGCAAUGUCAGGGUUGGUCUCUUUUGAUCAGCCCCAAACAUCAACUAUUAUCUCAACUCUUUGUCUGAAAAGUAUUAUGAAUAAAACAAUUCAAAAUACAACUUUCAACAACGGAUCUCUUGGCUCUCGCAUCGAUGAAGAACAGC